rnacentral:rRNA from 1 species
UAACCAUGAUUCCCCUAGUAACGGCGAGUGAAGAGGGAAAAGCUCAAAGUUGGAACCUGGCUGUCUUAGAUAGUCCGGAUUGUAAACUAAAGAGCGUGAAUCCAGGCAAGCCGGUUGAUCAAGUCCUUUGGAAUGAGGCGCCACUGAGGGUGAGAGCCCCGUAAAUCGACUGAGCAUUUGUCUUUUGUGUUUCGCGUUCAAAGAGUCAGGUUGUUUGGGAAUGCAGCCUAAAGCUGGUGGUAAAUCCCACCUAAAGCUAAAUACAGGCGAGAGACCGAUAGCGAACAAGUACCGUGAGGGAAAGAUGAAAAGUACUUUGAAAAGAGAGUUAAACAGUAUGUGAAAUUGCCAAGAGGGAAGCAUUUGGAGUUAGACUGACUUGAAGUUAAUCAGCUUGGUCUUUGGACUGGGUGUACUUGACUUCUAUGUCUGCCAAUAGCAGUUAGUCCUGGUGGAAAAAACUGAAGGGAAGGUAGUCCUUCGGGAUGUUUAUAGACCUUUGGAAAAUACACUGGGAUUGACUGAGGAAUGCAGUAGAUGCUAUUAAGGCUUCGUCUAGUAGGUGUUAGGUGAAGGUACUUGGUAUUUUCAGCUUGCUGAUGUGCUAGGUUACUUGAGCUUAAUUGCUUGCUAGAACUGUAAUCUACUUUGGUUAUUGGCUUA